rnacentral:sRNA from 1 species
UCUCGGCCGAUACUUGCUCGAGGCGGGU